UCAGGUAUGAGCCACCCAUUGUAACAGCAAAGUUUUGCUUGUGCUGGACCUUCAGUCACAUGAUUUGACUGAUGACCUCCUGUCAUCAGCAACAAUCCAGUAUCAUCGCUGAGAUAAACAGCAUACCGUUUAAUUGGAGACAUUUCCAGUGUCGACCGACUUAAGGAUCUCUUCAAUUCCCCUUUCUUUGAAUAUCCUCGUGUACGCCCAUGUGAAUGUGGGUGUAUUCACGAGGACUCGGUUUUUCCUAUCCCUCCUGGUGAGUUCAACAUUUCAGCGGAUGCUGGAGCACUUGUGGAUGCCUGGCUGUAUUUCCCAGGCUUAAAGAUUUGAGGCCAGAGCCGGCCAUCAUAACCACACCAUAUGCAAGUUUUUCUGGUGCAGGUGUUAACCGUCAGCAACAAUCUCAGGAUCAUCGCUUGGAUGAAAAAAGCAUCCCAUUGCAUUGAAAUGCAAUCGAGUUACGGAUCUCUUUCUUUUUCCCCUUUCUUGAAAUGUCCUCGUGUACGCCCAUGUGAAUGUGGGUGUAUUCACGAGGAUGUUCACCUUUAGCCCUUUCCCGUCUGGUGUAAUUUAUCUCUUCAGCGGAUGGAUGGAGCAACUGUAGAUGCCUGGCUGUAUUUCCCAGACA